rnacentral:lncRNA from 1 species
CUUAUUCCAGACAGUCUUAAUAAUGAGAACUAUGUGAUCUGAAAUACUGAACUUCUGGAAUUACAAUAACUUCUGUUAAUAUGUGUGAUACAGAUUCCUGGAAACUUGAGGAGCAGUCUUCCAGCAGCCAAGGAAUGCAGUUCCCCCCGGAUGUGUGGGUAUCUUGCAGAAAUCGAACAGAAGUGGGACAGACCAGUAGUAAGAACAACUGUUGUUUAAUACAGAUGAGCAAUUCGAUCUUCUUGGGUUGCUCACAUACCAUAGUGAUGAGUCUCAGAGAAAUACCAACAAAGAAGUUUUAAGUUCACUGCCUAUUUAGGAGAAUACAAAGUAUGUUCAGGUGAGUUUACAAAGUAUGUUCAGGUGAGUUGUGUUACAAUUGCUCUGUUA